rnacentral:rRNA from 1 species
UACGUAGGGGGCAAGCGUUGUCCGGAUUUAUUGGGCGUAAAGAGCGUGUAGGCGGCCACACAGGUCUGCUGUGAAAACUCGAGGCUCAACCUCGAGCUGUGGGUGGAAACCGUGUGGCUAGAGUCCGGAAGAGGAGAGUGGAAUUCCCGGUGUAGCGGUGAAAUGCGCAGAUAUCGGGAGGAACACCGGUGGCGAAGGCGGUUCUCUGGGCCUUACCUGACGCUGAGGAGCGAAAGCGUGGGGAGCGAACAGG